rnacentral:rRNA from 1 species
AACGAACGCUGGCGGCGCGUCUUAAGCAUGCAAGUCGGACGGCAAGGGUAGCAAUACCCCUAGAGUGGCGGACUGGUGAGUAACGCGUGGGUGACCUACCCUCGAGAUGGGGAUAGCCAUUAGAAAUAGUGGAUAAUACCGAAUACGCUCUGGAUGCUCUGGCGACCAGAGGAAAUCAGGCUACGGCCUGGCUCGAGGAUGGGCCCGCGUCCCAUUAGCUAGUUGGUGAGGUAACGGCCCACCAAGGCGACGAUGGGUAUCCGGCCUGAGAGGGUGUACGGACACAUUGGGACUGAGAUACGGCCCAAACUCCUACGGGAGGCAGCAGCUAAGAAUAUUCCGCAAUGGACGAAAGUCUGACGGAGCGACGCCGCGUGGAUGAAGAAGGCCGAAAGGUUGUAAAAUCCUUUUGCCGAUGAAGAAUAAGUGGUGUAGGGAAUGACAUCAUGAUGACAUUAGUCGGUGAAUAAGCCCCGGCUAACUACGUGCCAGCAGCCG